rnacentral:tRNA from 1 species
UCCCAGAUCGUCUAGCUGGCAGGACACCGGCCUUUGGUGCCGAGAACCGAGGUUCGAAUCCUCGUCUGGGAGCC